GUGUUGCGAUUGGAAGUGAUGCUCUGGCUAGUCAAGACUGAGUUUAGAAAACUUGGAUAGAGAGUUCGCUGGACCUGGUGACUGCGCAGAUGAUGCUCUACCGUUGAUAUCCUCUCUCGUUAGAAAUUCUAGAAAUGAAGCGAGGAAGGAAUCUGAGUGUGGCGUUUGUAGAAUGUUUACACAGUCGUUCAUAGUUAACAGUUAGCCAUGGAAUU
rnacentral:lncRNA from 1 species